rfam:Brachypodium distachyon strain Bd21 chromosome 2, whole genome shotgun sequence.
UACGUAUUCCCUCCGUCCAACAAAAGAGGUCUCAAGUUUGUCUAAAUUUGGAUGUAUCUAGACAUAACUUAGUGUAUAGAUGCAUUCAGAUUUGGUCAAAGUUGAGACAUCCUUUGUUGGACAGAGAGAGUACUUA